rnacentral:rRNA from 1 species
UACAGAGGGUGCGAGCGUUGUCCGGAAUCACUGGGCGUAAAGGGCGCGUAGGCGGCGCGGUAAGCGUGCGGUGAAAGCCCGGGGCUCAACCCCGGGUCGGCCGUGCGGACUGCCGGGCUCGAGCACUGUAGAGGCAGGUGGAAUUCCGGGUGUAGCGGUGGAAUGCGUAGAGAUCCGGAAGAACACCGGUGGCGAAGGCGGCCUGCUGGGCAGUGGCUGACGCUGAGGCGCGACAGCGUGGGGAGCAACAGG